AAGUGAAGAGGGAAGGAAUUCGGACACAACCUUGAAUGUUACUUUUUCUUUUACAACCACUGCUUGUUUGUUUUCUUGUUGCUGUUCCUAAAUUGGGUUUACGACCUUUUUUUUUGGAAGCAAAGCAAUUUUUGGUGGGAGACAAGUUCAAACAAUUAAAAAAAAAGGUACUUUACAGGUUAAAUACCCACUAAAGACCCACCGUUGGCACGGAGCCUCCCGGCUGAGCCAGAGUCCGGCUCAGACGAGGAAAACCAAGACGUCCAUGGAUCUAUUUGUCUGUGUGGAUGCAUCAGAAUGGAGAGGGGCGGCUGUGGCUCGCUCAGUGUCUUUUCUAUGUAACAAAUAAGCUCUUUUACAAAUGACCAUUUUCAUCAUCUGUUGCUGAUUCACAACAAUUUGAAGGAAGAAAUAAUCAGAACUGCAAUUUUAAACUUACAUCUAAUCAGUGGAUCUUUAAGGAAAAAUGAAGGAUCUUUAAAUGAAUAUGGUAUAAAAAUACUUUUAAAGCUUAAGAUUAAGACAGUUUAGGUCUAAAGUGAGGUAGAAGCACACAGAAUGUUACCUUUUCUUUUCUUUUCUGCUGCUUAAAUUGGCUUUUUCCACUGCAAUUUUUGUUGGAAAAAAACAAGUUCAAACAUAAAAAAAGGGCUUUUAUGUUGAAAGACUGUUUCCAGGCUCUGAGUAUUUUGCUGGGUUUAUUUAUUUAUUUGGCCUUUUCAGAUUGCACAAAUACAGCCAUCUAACGAUAACUCCAUGUAAAGCCUUUGCUGGCACAGCAGUCACGCCUGGAUUUGUGAGCCCCACAGUUCAUCACACAUGCAGUGGAGAUCCAGAUCCAGUGGAAAAGAUGACUCCCUGCAGCCUUUUAGGGGCGGGGGGGGGGGGCCAGCAAAGGAAAUGGAUAAUAACCCUCAUUACUGGGAGGCGGUACUUUCCAGUUCCUCAGCAGCGGGGAUCGGUGACCGCAGCCAGGCCGAUUCUUGUCAGUGAGUCUUAAAUGGAUGCAGAUAUGAUGAAGUCGUGGUGGGGGCAGAAUGAGCGAUCCGUCCUGCACAUUUGGACCAAAUAACAGAAUGACGCCAGGCUGCUGCGGGGAAGGUCUUCACCGUGACAAGGGCAGUGUGUCCAAACACCACGGAGCCAAGGAGCUCCCAGAGCUGCAGAGGAGCCGUGUCACUUCCUAUUGAUUAAUCUGUGUUAAUAACCCCAAAGGACUGCAGAGGAUGCUGCUGUCACAGGGGAGAAAGACCAUCGCACUGCAAAAACCCAACCUUAAAUGAAUGAGCCCACAUCUGUAGAUUUUGAAAGGGGAAAAAGUUCUGAACUGUGGCUGAAGACAUCGGAUUUCCCUACAGGACAGAUGCUGCAUCCAAAUGUCACAGCAAAGACGUUUUUUAUGGCAAAGUCAGCUCUCAACAACCCCCCCGAAAAAAAAAAAAAA